rnacentral:rRNA from 1 species
GAUGAACGCUGGCGGCGUGCCUAAUACAUGCAAGUCGAACGAGGUGCUUUUGUAGCAAUACGAGGGUAUCCUAGUGGCGAACGGGUGAGUAACGCGUUGGUGACCUGCCCCGAAGUGUGGGAUAACAGUCCGAAAGGAUUGCUAAUACCGCAUGUGGCCAUCGGGUUUAGAGACCGAUGUCUAAAGCAGCAAUGCGCUUUGGGAGGGACCUGCGUCCCAUCAGCUAGUUGGUGAGGUAACGGCUCACCAAGGCGACGACGGGUAGGGGGCCUGAGAGGGUGGCCCCCCACAAUGGAACUGAAACACGGUCCAUACACCUACGGGUGGCAGCAGUAGGGAAUAUUGCACAAUGGGCGAAAGCCUGAUGCAGCAACGCCGCGUGAGCGAAGAAGGCCUUCGGGUCGUAAAGCUCUUUUCUGGGAGAUGAGAAAGGACAGUAUCCCAGGAAUAAGUCUCGGCUAACUACGUGCCAGCAGCCGCGGUAAAAC